GACGAACGCUGGCGGCGUGCUUAACACAUGCAAGUCGAACGGAAAGGCCCUGCUUUUGUGGGGUGCUCGAGUGGCGAACGGGUGAGUAACACGUGAGUAACCUGCCCUUGACUUUGGGAUAACUUCAGGAAACUGGGGCUACUACCGGAUAGGAGCUCCUGCUGCAUGGUGGGGGUUGGACAGUUUCGGCGGUUGGGGAUGGACUCGCGGCUUAUCAGCUUGUUGGUGGGGUAGUGGCUUACCAAGGCUUUGACGGGUAGCCGGCCUGAGAGGGUGACCGGCCACAUUGGGACUGAGAUACGGCCCAGACUCCGACGGGAGGCAGCAGUGGGGAAUAUUGCACAAUGGGCGGAAGCCUGAUGCAGCAACGCCGCGUGCGGGAUGACGGCCUUCGGGUGGGAAACCGCUUUCGCCUGUGACGAAGCGUGAGUGACGGUAAUGGGUAAAGAAGCACCGGCUAACUACGUG
rnacentral:rRNA from 1 species